ACCAGACUCCUACGGGAGGCAGCAGUGGGGAAUAUUGCACAAUGGGGGGAACCCUGAUGCAGCGACGCCGCGUGGGUGAAGGAGCACCUCGGUGCGUAAAGCCCUAUCGGCAGGGAAGAAACAGACGGUACCUGACUAAGAAGCCCCGGCUAACUACGUGCCAGCAGCCGCGGUAAUACGUAGGGGGCAAGCGUUAUCCGGAUUUAUUGGGUUUAAAGGGUGCGCAGGCGGCACGGCAAGCCGGCGGUCAAAUCGCGGGGCUCAACCCCGCCCAGCCGUCGGAACUGCCGGGCUAGAGUGGGCGAGAAGUGCGCGGAAUGCGUGGUGUAGCGGUGAAAUGCAUAGAUAUCACGCAGAACUCCGAUUGCGAGGGCAGCGCACCGGCGCCCUACUGGCGCUCAGGCACGAAAGCGUGGGUAUCGAACAGGAUUAGAUACCCCAGUAU
rnacentral:rRNA from 1 species